ensembl:lncRNA
GCCUGGGUGGGGGGGGGUUAGGGAGGGGGGGUGAAAAAUGAAAUAUGAAGGUAUAGAAGGUUGACGGAGACAGAGUUAAGGAAUGAAAUAUCGUCCGAGGUCAAAGGUGUGGGGGAGUUAUUUGGAGAGGAAAAGUGCAAAAGAUAAAGCAGUCUGAAGAAUGAAAUGCAGAGAUGUGAUAGAUGAAAGAGGGAUAGAGAAGGAAGAUCUCCAGCUCGCCCAUCCAUCAAAGCGCCUACAGGCACAACGUAAAUAAAGGAAUUUUAUUUUCUGCAUUCUAGAAGGGUAGCCAGACAGAACAGCCAGACAGAACAGAUCCUUCUUUGUUUUGAGUACCUUAAUCAAAUGUUCAUGUAAUAAUACAGUUCAGAAUAGUUGCAAGUAUACAAAAGCUCUUCGUUACAUUGAUGUUUGCAUAAAAACCCAAAUGUUGAUUUGAUUACUUCAACUGUUUUCCUUAAGACACAUUUUUCUUUGUAAUUGACAUAAAGGACUGUUUUGAUUGAUAUGCUGUUGGUUGAAUUAGUGAGUUUGUGUGUAGUGUGUAUUGGUCAGUCCUUAUCAACGGGACUCUCUACCGAAGGGAUAAUUCACAAGCUAGUAGAUUGAUCCUCAGCAAAUUGAGUCAAUAUACUGCAAAUAUAAAAAUGUAGUUUCAACACAAAAAAGUAUGACCCUGUUUAACAUUUUAAAUCAUCCCAACUGAAAAUAUAUGGCUUGGUCCAAAACAUAAUUUUUUUCGCAAUUUACGACGAGCAAUUUUGUGACCGUGUAUUAUGACAACCUGUAUAUGCGACAAGUGAAUUAUUUUCUUGGACAGUAUGAACCAACAAAUGCAAAUCUAUCACUGCUGUACAGGGAGGCUUAUAGCCGAUCGAAAACAGUCAAGGUUUAGUCAAUGCUUGUUACACUAAAGUACUGUGCAAUAACAUAGAGAAGAGAGGGUAAGGGAGAGGAGAGAGUGAGGAAACAAAAAUACAAACACUGUGAGAUGGUGCACAUGAAUGUUUUCUAAUGUAUAGAUAGGACAUAGAUUAAAAAGUGUUGUUUUGAAUGGGGAUUUACUUAUUUGGCUCAUGUACCCUCAUGUCAUAUGUAUGUUAAUUUGUUCAACCGUGUUGAAAACGAAUGCACGUAUUGUUCAAUGGUGGAAUCGUAGGGGUCGGAAGAUGUUGGAAGAAUUGACAGCACAACUUUGGAGGCAUUCCAUCAAAAAGGAUCCAAGGAAUAUGGAAGUUGAACAUUUACCCAGAAUACACUUGGUGGAAGGAUUCAGCAAAAAAACAACAUACACUGUCUGUCUUCACAGUGAUGGCACAGAUCUCUGUGUUAUAUACUCAAUGGUUAAAAAGAAAAAUCAAAUCAAUGGACACCUCAGAAAAGGGGGGACUGACAAUCACAGACUUGUUUCUCUCUUAUUUAAGUGACCUAAUAUAUAAUAGACUAUUGUACCAAUUUUCCUAUUUGAUGCUGCCUACUGUACGUGAUAGUCCUAAACUUGAGUCUCUAGAAGUGCUAUGUUUUAUGUCUUGUUUUUCUAAAAUGAAAUAACGGCAAAUGGAAUGAACAUUAAAAAACGAAAAAUCUACUGUACAAAUGUGAAUAAGAAGGUGAAUUAAGACACACAGUCUGAGACUGUGUGAUCACUGGAUGGUCGUUUUUUCCGUCAAUGCUUAAAAAGUAAAGGGCAAAAAAAAUGUGACACACAUAACACAAAACGGUUGUACUCCCCACGAGGUAUGCACUUGUAUGCCUAUUUCCCUGGUGUGUGUGUGUGUGUGUGUGUGUGUAAUGCUAGCUAUGCUGAAGGGGGGUGGGUUUGGCUAGCCAGUUUUUUUAUUUAUUGAAUUUCAAAUUCAACAGAGAAAUCAGAAAAUGGUCACUUGGGAGUUUUACAAAGUAUAAUAGCAAUAUUAACAAACUUUUUUGUUAAUCAAUUGGCUUUAAAUACAAAAUGCGACCAGCUGCAAAGAUGGAAUUUGUUUUCAGAGCAUUCGCUACUGGGCAACAGCAUGGACCUGAAAUUGGGAAAAGUACACAUUUUUCCUUCACUCCCAAAGUCUUUGCAUUGCCUUAUCUCCAAGUGUUUUGUAGGUUUACCCCUGAGUCAUAGUUUAUAACGUUGGAUGAAAAAAGGUCAACACUCACACGAUGAAAUGUGGUUGUUUAAGAUCAGACAGACAAGGAUGUUUUUACAAUGUCAACACUCAACCGAUUUGAAACACGGAGACGUUGCUUCAAGAGGGGUUUUGCAAUUAGUCUAUGUGAGCAGCUGGAUGCCUCUGGUGUCCCAAAAUACUUCUGCUGCCGCCCACUCUCUGAGAUUUGAUAAAGGAUGAACACAAAACCUGAACUCCAACCAACACACAGUCUCGAGCAGAUGUGUCUCAUGUCACAGCACACAGCCAGGUGUAGGACACCCAAUUGUUUACACAAUGUGUUUAGAGGGGAAACAAAAUGAGGCAAUUUACACUCCAUCACCAACCGAUUCACAGUCUCUACAGGGAUCUUAUCGGAUUCAGGACAAAGACUUUUAUUUGAUUUUACAUGUUUGUUUGUGCAUUUUUGCUUUAACACGUUGGUGUCAAAGGCAAAUAAGAAGCUUAUUAUUUCCUGGCAUACAAACAGUUUACAAAUAGGUAGACUUAUUGUAAACAAAUGCAGUCCUUCAGUGUGGAUGGCAACUGUCUUAAUGUGUCCUGCUAAAAUGUAACAAUGAAUUCAUAAUUCAGAUGAUGAUGUUGGUGAGGAUCACGAGUAUUUCUGAUUUCUCUUUGAACUCGGUCUAUUGUGAUACUAUGUAAUAAAAAGUGCUAUGUCUUAUCUUUAAA